GUAGGUGUAGCUCAGUGGUGGAGCACAUGCUUAGCAUGCAGGAGGUCCUGGUUCAAUCCCUAGUACCUCCA
rnacentral:tRNA from 1 species